GUGGGGAAUCUUAGACAAUGGGGGAAACCCUGAUCUAGCCAUGCCGCGUGAGCGAUGAAGGCCUUAGGGUUGUAAAGCUCUUUCAGAGGGGAAGAUAAUGACGGUACCCUCAGAAGAAGCCCCGGCUAACUCCGUGCCAGCAGCCGCGGUAAUACGGAGGGGGCUAGCGUUGUUCGGAAUUACUGGGCGUAAAGCGCACGUAGGCGGACCAGAAAGUCAGGGGUGAAAUCCCGGGGCUCAACCCCGGAACUGCCUCUGAAACUCCUGGUCUUGAGGUCGAGAGAGGUGAGUGGAAUUCCGAGUGUAGAGGUGAAAUUCGUAGAUAUUCGGAGGAACACCAGUGGCGAAGGCGGCUCACUGGCUCGAUACUGACGCUGAGGUGCGAAAGCGUGGGGAGCAAACAGGAUUAGAAACCCCUGUAGUCC
rnacentral:rRNA from 1 species